GUGGGGAAUAUUGGACAAUGGGCGAAAGCCUGAUCCAGCCAUGCCGCGUGUGUGAAGAAGGUCUUCGGAUUGUAAAGCACUUUAAGUUGGGAGGAAGGGCAGUAAGUUAAUACCUUGCUGUUUUGACGUUACCGACAGAAUAAACACCGGCUAACUUCGUGCCAGCAGCCGCGGUAAUACGAAGGGUGCAAGCGUUAAUCGGAAUUACUGGGCGUAAAGCGCGCGUAGGUGGUUGUGUAAGUUGGAGGUGAAAUCCCCGGGCUCAACCUGGGAACUGCUUUCAAAACUGCUGAGCUAGAGUACGGUAGAGGGUGGUGGAAUUUCCUGUGUAGCGGUGAAAUGCGUAGAUAUAGGAAGGAACACCAGUGGCGAAGGCGACUACCUGGACUGAUACUGACACUGAGGUGCGAAAGCGUGGGGAGCAAACAGGAUUAGAAACCCUAGUAGUCC
rnacentral:rRNA from 1 species